rnacentral:lncRNA from 1 species
GGUUUAUUUUUUCCUCUCACAACUAAAUUACACUUUUGGUCCUCAAACUAUGAAAUACAUGAGACUUUGGUUCUCAAACUUUAAUUUGUUAUGAUUUUUUGCUUAAAUUUUUUGAAUUAUUAUGAUUAGGCAUUACAAUCUAAUUUAGUUGGUUAAAUAUAGAUAAAUUGUUAAUAUAGAAGAUAUGUGAAAAUAUUAUGAUUAGUAAUGCAUGUGAUAACAGUUGAGAUGCUAUGUCACUUUUACAUCAAUAAUUUUUUAAUAUUUAGCCAACUAAAUUGGGUUGUUUGACUUGAUUGUAUUAAUUUAGUUAAUUGUAAUAAUUUAGAAAUUAAGGUCGAGUCAGAAAUUACAAUAAAUUAAAGUUUAAGGACCAGUGAAUCACGCGCCUCAUAGUUUGAGGA